UACGGAGGAUCCAAGCGUUAUCCGGAAUCAUUGGGUUUAAAGGGUUCGUAGGCGGUGUGGCAAGUCGGGAGUGAAAUCUCUGGGCUCAACUCAGAGACUGCUUCCGAAACUGCUGUGCUGGAGUGUGGGAGAGGCGCGUGGAAUUGCAGGUGUAGCGGUGAAAUGCGUAGAUAUCUGCAGGAACACCCGUGGCGAAAGCGGCGCGCUGGACCACUACUGACGCUGAGGAACGAAAGCUAGGGGAGCAAACAGG
rnacentral:rRNA from 1 species